rnacentral:snRNA from 1 species
CUGGGUUCUGGUUUUCUGUUAGCUAAGAUCAAAGUGUAGUAUCUGUUCUUAUCAGCUUUAUCUCUGGUGCGAUCUAUAGUAUUGAGGUACUGGAAUCGAUUCCAGGUCUAAGCUUUGGAUUUUAUUAAUUAAAUUAAAUAGUGAAGAAUGUUUAUCUCCGUUCCGCACUUUUGGGUGAGCUUUGGUGAACAGGAUAUCCCCCCCC